rnacentral:tRNA from 1 species
ACGGCUGUCGUCUAGUGGUAGGACGGCACCCUCCCAAGGUGCAGGCCCGGGUUCGAAUCCCGGCAGCCGUA